CUUUCCGAUUACAGGCCUGUAGGUGUUUGGGGAAAAAUAGUUGGUUCUUUAUGUGCGAUCGCUGGUGUCUUGACGAUUGCAUUACCAGUUCCAGUAAUCGUAUCAAAC
rfam:Trichomalopsis sarcophagae strain Alberta scaffold811, whole genome shotgun sequence.